rnacentral:rRNA from 1 species
GACGAACGCUGGCGGCGUGCCUAACACAUGCAAGUCGAGCGGAGAUGAUGUGAGGAAGUUUUCGGAUGGAAUCACAUUAUUUUAGCGGCGGACGGGUGAGUAACGCGUGAGCGACCAACCUUGCACAGGGGGAUAACGGACCGAAAGGUUCACUAAUACCGCAUGAGACCACGGUGUUGCAUGACACAGAGGUCAAAGGAGAGAUCCGGUGCAAGACGGGCUCGCGUCCGAUUAGGUAGUUGGUGGGGUAACGGCCCACCAAGCCUAUGAUCGGUAGCCGACCUGAGAGGGUGAUCGGCCACGUUGGAACUGAGAUACGGUCCAAACUCCUACGGGAGGCAGGAGUGGGGAAUAUUGGGCAAUGGGGGAAACCCUGACCCAGCAACGCCGCGUGAAGGAAGAAGGUUUUCGGAUUGUAAACUUCUGUCCUUGGUGAAGAGAAGAAGACGGUAGCCAAGGAGGAAGCCCCGGCUAACUACGUGCCAGCCGCCGCAGUAA